AGAGUUUGAUCCUGGCUCAGAACGAACGCUGGCGGCGUGGAUAAGACAUGCAAGUCGAACGGGAGAAUUGCUAGCUUGCUAAUAAUUCUCUAGUGGCGCACGGGUGAGUAACACGUGAGUAACCUGCCUCUUAGUGGGGGAUAGCCCUGGGAAACCGGGAUUAAUACCGCAUACGAUUGAAAGAUCAAAGCAGCAAUGCGCUAGGAGAUGGGCUCGCGGCCUAUUAGUUAGUUGGUGAGGUAACGGCUCACCAAGGCGAUGACGGGUAGCCGGUCUGAGAGGAUGUCCGGCCACACUGGAACUGAGACACGGUCCAGACACCUACGGGUGGCAGCAGUCGAGAAUCAUUCACAAUGGGGGCAACCCUGAUGGUGCGACGCCGCGUGGGGGAAUGAAGGUCUUCGGAUUGUAAACCCCUGUCAUGUGGGAGCAAAUUAAAAAGAUAGUACCACAAGAGGAAGAGACGGCUAACUCUGUGCCAGCAGCCGCGGUAAUACAGAGGUCUCAAGCGUUGUUCGGAAUCACUGGGCGUAAAGCGUGCGUAGGCUGUUUCGUAAGUCGUGUGUGAAAGGCAGGGGCUCAACCCCUGGAUUGCACAUGAUACUGCGAGACUAGAGUAAUGGAGGGGGAACCGGAAUUCUCGGUGUAGCAGUGAAAUGCGUAGAUAUCGAGAGGAACACUCGUGGCGAAGGCGGGUUCCUGGACAUUAACUGACGCUGAGGCACGAAGGCCAGGGGAGCGAAAGGGAUUAGAUACCCCUGUAGUCCUGGCAGUAAACGGUGCACGCUUGGUGUGCGGGGAAUCGACCCCCUGCGUGCCGGAGCUAACGCGUUAAGCGUGCCGCCUGGGGAGUACGGUCGCAAGAUUAAAACUCAAAGAAAUUGACGGGGACCCGCACAAGCGGUGGAGUAUGUGGCUUAAUUCGAUGCAACGCGAAGAACCUUACCUGGGCUUGACAUGUAAUGAACAACAUGUGAAAGCAUGCGACUCUUCGGAGGCGUUACACAGGUGCUGCAUGGCCGUCGUCAGCUCGUGUCGUGAGAUGUUUGGUUAAGUCCAGCAACGAGCGCAACCCCUGUUGCCAGUUACCAGCACGUCAAGGUGGGGACUCUGGCGAGACUGCCCAGAUCAACUGGGAGGAAGGUGGGGACGACGUCAGGUCAGUAUGGCCCUUAUGCCCAGGGCUGCACACGUACUACAAUGCCCAGUACAGAGGGGGCCGAAGCCGCGAGGCGGAGGAAAUCCUGAAAACUGGGCCCAGUUCGGACUGUAGGCUGCAACCCGCCUACACGAAGCCGGAAUCGCUAGUAAUGGCGCAUCAGCUACGGCGCCGUGAAUACGUUCCCGGGUCUUGUACACACCGCCCGUCA
rnacentral:rRNA from 1 species